UUAGCAAUAGAUGUUCUCUUGUACACACAAGCUACAUAAUGAUAUAACGCAAUUCCAAAAUUAAGAAACUACAAGAGAAUGCGCAUGAACAUGCAAGUUUUUUUUGGAAAAAAAUAGAAUAUUUUUCUUGGUGGCAUUCGACGAUGUUUGCCACAAAGAACGAAACGUAGUCAUUGCCUAUCAAAUUUGAUCAAAUUAUGAGAGAUAAACCUUUUGUAUUGCAGUCCGAG
rnacentral:lncRNA from 1 species